rnacentral:lncRNA from 10 species
AAUCAUUUAUUAAGCAUUGCCCUGGCCUAAGACACCACAUGGGUCAUUUCUUCCAGGCUCCAACUUGCUUCUGCUUUGCCAUAUGGUAACACGCCGUAUUAUGGAAGCACCAUCAUUACCGCCAUUUGCAGGGGAAGCCUAAAGAGAUAAAUGCCAGCCAGCAUCCCUGUCUCUGGGGCCCUGGAGAGGCCUUCAACACACCUGGCCUCACUGCCCUGUGGCUUCAACAAAGAGGCCGAGCAUCUCCUAUAAACCUUGAGGUCCAUGGAUGACAUAGCGGAAUGAUGGAUUUCAGAAAAGGCAGGUGCUUCCCACUCUUUAAAUUUUUGUUUAUUCUUUCCAAGUUUCCCAUCAACAGCCCUGCAGUAAAAAUUCAGGGCUUCAGAGACAAAUAUUUCAUGAGUACAGACUGUGAUGAGGAAAAGCAAGCCAUUCCCUCUCUAUCAGGAUCCAGAGCACACUGCUGUUACGACUCCAGAACCGAUAAGGAAGCUAUGUGUGGAAGUAUGAGCUCAGGUCGCCUUCUGACCCUCUGUGACGGUCUAUUUCAGGCAGUUAUGGAUAGAUAACAUUACAGACACUGGGAUCUUUAACAAGUGACACAAACAAGAGAAGAAGCAGAUAAGAAAAUGGCUGAGAAGUGGCAGAGUCAAAGUUCCGAUGCAGGCCCAUGGGCCCUCUUGGUUCACCUCCUCCAGCCCAGGCUUCUAAAACUACUUCCCAUACCUGCUGUAUUGCAGCAACCAUGCUAAUUUAGCAACUUCCCAUCCCAGAUGCAUAAAGAAGAUGGAACCAAUUCACCAUGAAUCUAUCCACCCAGGCAUUUAGACACAAAGGUGAAAAUAACAACAGGCCCUGUCCUCGAGAAACUCCUCGUCCAACAGGGGAAGGGGGAGAGUGCCAGUAAACAGGGCCGUUGAGCUCUGUCCCAGCAGUGGGGACAGGCUUGCAUAGAACCACCCUCACUCCUGCAGCAACUUCCCUCAUGCCAGACAAGAAUAGAGUGAAAGGAGACCCCCACCUUAGCUUUCUUGGCCUGGGGCUCCAUCCUGCUGUGCCUAGCAAGAACACAACACACAGACACACACCAAUAGAUACAUGUAUCUUACCACUACUGGGGGAGAAAGAAAAGAAAAAAUAAAUCACUGGGAACCGCAGCAGGGUGAGAACCCAGACCUCAGCAAGUCCCAAUUUCAGAGGUGACAGCAUCUUUAAAUGCCGCAGGAGUGCGCUCCUAGCUGAGGCAGGUGUGUGGAUUCAACAGUUGACCCCAGCUGUCGCAGAGCGCGAGGAAGCUGCGCAGUAAACCCCUUACAUAUCAACCUCUGAGGACCGGUUUUUCUGCACCUGGUGGUCCUUCUAGACGUCUAGGAGGAUCGUGUUCUCAGGAGAGGGUUCUUCAGCAUCUGUGCUGAAGAACACUGCCCCAGCGGGUCACAUGCAAGAUUCCACCUUCGAGCAACAUAGCUGACACUCUGCAGCCCAGUUGUCACUUGUAACAAACCCCAGUGGGUCACAUAGUGAGGGGAGGCAAGGCUGCGUAAGGCAGUGGCUGAACUAUCCCAGAAAACAAGGAUCACAGGCCCCCAGUGACACCAAUGUUGCAGAAACACCUGCAGUGGCAAGUCAGAUGUCCUCCAGGACCAGGCAGAUAACAAGGAGUAGGGGUCUGCAGAGGCCUCGGGAGGGUCUGCACCAUCCAAAGAAAUCAAUUGUUCUGCACAGUGGUAAGGAUCCAGUGUUCCCAGCACUUCCAAACAUUUGAAUGAAGCCAGAAUUCCAGAUAAUUAUGUGAAAUCCCCAAUUACUAAAUAUUGGCAAC